rnacentral:piRNA from 1 species
UACAACCAUGUGUGCAUAUGGCUAUGU